AGGGGAGACUCGUCAGAGUUGGGGAACAUUGUCAGAGCACCGAAGAAGCAAAGAAGAGCCAGGCUCAGGUUUGCAAAAGACCAUAAGGAUUGGACCAUAGAGGACUGGAGUAAGGUCAUCUUCUCUGAUGAGUCCAAUUUUCAGCUUUGCCCAACACCUGGUCGUCUAAUGGUUAGACGGAGACCUGGAGAGGCCUACAAGCCUCAGUGUCUCGCACCUACUGUGAAAUUUGGUGGAGGAUCGGUGAUGAUCUGGGGGUGCUUCAGCAAGGCUGGAAUCGGGCAAAUUUGUCUUUGUGAAUCAAGCCAAGUACAAACCUCAGCCUGGCUCUUCUUUGCUUCUUUGGUGCUCUGACAAUGUUCCCCAACUCUGAGGAGUGUUUUUUCCAGCAGGACAAUGCUCCAUGCCACACAGCCAGGUCAGUGAAGGUGUGGAUGAAGGACCACCAGAUCAGGACCCUGUCAUGGCCAGCCCAAUC